GACGAACGCUGGCGGCGUGCUUAACACAUGCAAGUCGAACGGAAAGGCCCUGCUUUUGUGGGGUGCUCGAGUGGCGAACGGGUGAGUAACACGUGAGUAACCUGCCCUUGACUUUGGGAUAACUUCAGGAAACUGGGGCUAAUACCGGAUAGGAGCUCCUUCUGCAUGGUGGGGGGUGGAAAGUUUCGGCGGUUGGGGAUGGACUCGCGGCUUAUCAGCUUGUUGGUGGGGUAGUGGCUUACCAAGGCUUUGACGGGUAGCCGGCCUGAGAGGGUGACCGGCCACAUUGGGACUGAGAUACGGCACAGACUGCUACGGGAGGCAGCAGUGGGGAAUAUUGCACAAUGGGCGGAAGCCUGAUGCAGCAACGCCGCGUGCGGGAUGACGGCCUUCGGGUUGUAAACCGCUUUCGCCUGUGACGAAGCGUGAGUGACGGUAAUGGGUAAAGAAGCACCGGCUAACUACGUG
rnacentral:rRNA from 1 species